rnacentral:rRNA from 1 species
AUGGCGUCUGUGGAGGAGUUUGAGGAAGAAGAGGAGGAGGUGGAGGGCUUCGAGCAUUUCUUCUAUGCCCGGGAGAAUUGGGUUGCCUGGGCAGAGGAGGAGGUGGAGAGGCGUCGGUGGGAGGAAGAUGAGAAGGCGUGGAAGACGGAGGAGAGCAGGUGGAGACGCGAGGCACACGAAGCGGUCAUGGACUCCAUCAUCCAGCACGAUCCCAAGGUGGGGCGCGAGGUCUACACCCGGUUUUUUCUCAGAGACUUCUCCGUCUUCGACAUCAACGAGGAGUGUAAGCAUAGCAGCCUCUCCAUAUCUCCUACGAGGCCAGUCUAA